UACGUAGGGUGCAAGCGUUUGUCCGGAAUUAUUGGGCGUAAAGCGCACGUAGGCGGCUCCAAAAGUCGGAUGUGAAAUCCCUCGGCUCAACCAAGGAAGUGCACCCGAAACUGCGGAGCUUGAGUAUGGAAGAGGGUCGCGGAAUUCCCGGUGUAGAGGUGAAAUUCGAUAGAUAUCGGGAGGAACACCAGUGGCGAAGG
rnacentral:rRNA from 1 species